UAACUGCAUCUAAACAGUUCAGGUACUUGGUCUCCAGUGUGUCGACCCCAAACAAUGGAUAAACCCGUCCGUGGAAGGUACUAGAAAUUAGGAGGUGGACCUAGUUGGAGUGAGUCCCUGGGGAUGCGUCCUUGGAAGCGAUAUCUUGUCCCCCGUCCUUUGCCCUCGCUUGCCCCUCCCUAUUUCCCAGCUGCUAAGGAAGAUGGAGCAUCUCUGCUCCUAUCCUUGGGUAGUAGGCACUGAAACAGUUCCCUCACAUCUUGAGCCACGGCUUACUCCUUCAACUUGAUCUCAAGUAUUUUGUCAUAGUGUUGGAAAGCUAACAGAGAUGCCAGAGACACAAAGAGGAUUAAUGAUUCUCCAGUUGUCGCCUGAAAUAAUCCAUAAGAAAUCACGUAAUCACUUUCAAACCUAAAUGCAUGAUCAGAAGUGGAAAAACUCCUUUGUUUAAGAGCCUGCAAUCCAAGAAUGGCCAGUGGGUGGUGCCAGAGUACACCCAGUCUUCGGCCUGGAGACGGCUGUCAGCUGCAAGACAAAGCACAGUUUUUGUUGGACAUUCUCAUUUAUAGGCACUCAGUGGCCAAUGGAGUCAGGUUGUUCUGCUUUGGAAACUCUUGAACAUUCUUCCAUAAGUCUUGGAUCUUUUACCUCAGUUGUCAAUUUGACAUGAACCUACAAUCACCUGGAAAGAGGAAAUGACACCUGAAGAAUGACCGUAUCUAUCCUCCAGAGGUUCCUGUCACUGUUAGAAGUCAGCUCGUGAAUGUGACCAACAGGCUCCCUCGGCCUGUUCACUUUUUCAUCUUUUCUUCUGUCCUGGGAUUUUGAGUUAUGGACUAUGCAGCUCACAUUUUUAGAACAGAAAAUAUUUGUUAAGAGUCUAUCUCCAGAACCUGGCACAGUGCAUGGACAUAUUGGAAAUGCCCCAGUAGAUGUGCUCAAGAAUGGGUAAUUGCUAAGAGAACCAAUGCCACAUCCUCACCACCCAGCCUGGGCAUUUCUAACCAUUGCACUGGGCAAGACCCUGGAAACCUACCCCCUGAAGGUGUUAUCUGCAGCACCUAGGAGUUCAGCCUGCUAGAAGCCACCCAGAGACCAGCACAGGGAAGCAGUGGGGAAGCCUAACUGUUCCUCAGGAUUGCUCAGCCUCAUUAUUCAGUAAUGGGAACGCCUAAGGAGAAGGCUCUGGAGGGAGACCUUUUUAGUCAGCGAGGUCCCAGGGACCUUAGCUGCGAGGGUGAGAGCUUUCUGAGGAGACUCAUGAAAGUGCGAAGGAGGCCAAGGGUCGAGGUAGAGGCAAAUUAUAUGCAGGUGGUUGCUCUUCCUUCACUGUUUGAAAAAGUCACCUUCUGAGUGGUAGUCAGGACCUAACUGGGGUUCGCACUGUUCCCCAGGUGGACUGGAAGGGAGGCGUGUCUGAAUGUAUCGGAACUCAAGAGCCCAUUAUCCAUGUCAAUCGGUCUCAGAGGACCAGAAACAACCUAUCCCUGCUUCCUGAAAUUCCCUCGGGUCUGGCAAAGUCCAGGAGGUAAAGCCAGGGACUCAAUCCAAUGAGCCCAGCAGCCCCUUCCCACACCUUCAGGAUCCUGCCCAUGGGGGUUCUGGGCAAGAUGGACACAUAAGCAAGUUGAGAUAAUGUUGGGUGAGUGGUAGAGUCUGACAUGAGCUCAGGACAAGCUUCUUCCUUUUUGCACUAUGAUUCUGGGGUCACACGUGGCAAUCUCAAGGGAGACCAGACCGUCUUAUCUCUUCAGUUCUAUGUAACCCCAAGAAUAAGUUUAUCGAAUACAUAGUGAACCAAAGGAAAAGAUACAAAACAGGGAGUGGACAGAAUGCUCAAAACACCCAGGGGGAGCCAAUUUGUGAAGUCGAGGCAUCAACUGGCAUUCCUGAUUGAACUUUAUCUCGUGACUGGGCUUCCUGUGGCAGGGCUUCCACCUCUCUCUUCCACCGCAGGUAUUUUUCUAUCAUGGGAUAAACAGUAGUGGCCUCUGUUGGACAUAGUCUGCCUUCUUGCUGUUCUGAAGGACACAGUGUGUUUUUUUGGAGGCUGUUCUGCUGUCUCUGCUGACAGAGGUCCUUCCUGUCACGGAGUUAGGGAGGUCAGUGACACAGACAGGGCCCAGACAAAGGACUUUGGAAGGCAAUUUGAGGCAGACAUGCUUGAGUCUGAAAUGGGGGCAUCUCCUUGACUUCCAAAGCCAGCUCUUCUGUGAGUUCAAACAAUGCUCGACAAUUCACCGAUAUCAUAGACGGCAUUGACCUAGCAGUGCCCUGUAACCCAGAAGGGUUAAAAUCGGAAAGAGGGAGAGUCAGCUAUCCACCCCCACUUGGCAUAUGCAAGGGAAGCUGUCAGCAGGUUCCCAGGAUCGAAUCCUGUCCUACCAGAUUCCUCUCAUGGGUCGUCAAGACCCCAAAUCUUAGUUGCACAUCUCCUGUGCAGAGUUCCCAGGUGAUGCUACCAACACAAUUCAAGGAUUUGAUGUUUGCUGUAGCAAAGGUGGGAAAACCAUCUUUAAAUGCAGAGCAAUGGCAAUAGCCAUACAGCCAGCACUCCUAGUGCCAGAGGCACAGACCUCUUACUAGUAGGCUAUUGGACUAUGCAGAUGACAAGCACAUUCUCCAAAUACAUCCCUCUUUUCUUCCAGGUUUAAUACUCAGUCGUGGAAGCUCUUUGGGAAGGGGCUGACUGCUGUUGACACUGUCUUCUGCUGGUCCCUUACUAGAGACUACUAUUUGCCUGAGAGUCUUCUUUCUCAUCUUGGAGUUGAGGUGCUCCAUGAAGCCCCUUUUUAGGCUCACACCCACAAACAUUGAAUUUGGAACACAGAUCACAGUUCUUAGAACCCCACAGCCCUGCUUUUCAUGACUGCCACGAGUCCUCUUGGUUCCUGAGUCUGUGUAGUACCGCGUAGUGAGUAGGUCCUGACCCUCUGGGAACCCGCCCUCUCCACCAGCUCUCCUGCUCAGAAGUUCCCCACAUUCCUUCCUGCAGUUGUCUCCUUCAAGCUCUCCUUCUCCAGGCCACUCUUGGUUACAGGACACAGUCACUUGUUUCAACUAUCAGACUGCAGAGGAGGGUAAUGUGACAGAGGAGAACGAUGGACAGAAAGAACAAUGGAGAGACAGAUGUACAGAGACAGAGAGCGUGGCCAGUCACAGAUGUGAAAGAACUUCUGAGCGGCUUCUCCCCAGUCUCAGGGAAUCACAGAGACCCCAGCAUCUAAUGAGAGCUAACAGUAGACAAGGACUCAUUGUCUUGCAUUCAUCGCUCAGUCCCUCGCUCACCUGACUCUCAGCUCCUAGAGAGUUUAUCACACACAGAUGAUCCACCCAGCUGGGAAUUUGUAAGAGUCUUGCUAAAAAAAAUAAAAUAAAGUGAGAGCUUCGAGGCAGGUGCUGACUAUAAUUAGGAAAACAGCCGUCUGCCCACUGGAGGGAGGUAACAACCGCAGAGUGGCCAGGAAACGGAUGCCCGAUGAGGGGGUGGGAGGAGAUGGCUGUAGAGCUCAGCAUCAGUGCAGACAGAAGGAUACAACCCAGGAACAGGAAGUCCUCCAGUAUAAACAGCUUGAGUGAAGGCUUGGAGGCCACCAGGCAAACCAGGCACCUGAUCAAUGGCAGUUAGCUGAAUACGGCAGAGAUGGACCAUCCAGGUGAAAGGGACAAGAAGCAGGACUUUCCGCCCAGGAUCUGGCCAGUGUCCAAAGGCUGGAUGGUGGAGAACCUGACUUCUGUCCCUUCAGUCUGGGCUCUUUUCAUACACCAUAUGCAGUUAUGCGGGUCUCAGUGGAGAUAAGCCACAGCUGUAAAAUACAUGUUGGAUUUCAAAGGCAGAGCAGCAAAGAAAAACCAAUGCUCAUACAUGCCUGUAAUAAUGAUUAUUAAAAUGGUUAUACUGAA